UGGAACUGUAGUUAGUGUUGGCUCCGCAGCGGUGUAGCAUCUGUCCCAGAUGGCAGAGGUGGAAGAGACACUGAGGCGACUUCAGAGCCAGAAGAGAGUGCAGGGCAUCAUCGUGGUGAAUACAGAAGGCAUCCUAUCAAAGGCACCAUGGACAAUCCCACCACUACACAGCACGCCAACCUCAUGCAUAACUUCAUCUUGAAGGCUCCGAGCACUGUGCGUGAAAUUGACCCCCAAAAUGACCUGACCUUCCUUCGAAUUCGUUCCAAGAAAAAUGAAAUUAUGGUUGCACCAGAUAAGGACUAUUUCCUGAUUAUGAUUCAGAAUCCAACAGAAUAGCCACUCUUGGCUCCCCAUGUCAUUCCUUAAUUUAAUGCCCUCCAAGAAUUAUAAUGUCAAUCAUGUCAUCUGACCAGCCCAUAAAGAUGACCAUAGAUCCCUCGUGAAACAAUAGAGAUCGCUGUAGAUUCCUCAUGAGCCAAUUCAAUGACCAAGGGUGGGUUGGCAGCUCCCCUCUACCUUCACCAGAUGGAGGGAGGAAUUCUUCUCCCUUCCCCG